UGGGGAAUAUUGCACAAUGGGGGAAACCCUGAUGCAGCGACGCCGCGUGAACGAAGAAGGUAUUCGUAUCGUAAAGUUCUGUCCUAUGGGAAGAUAAUGACAGUACCAUAGAAGAAAGCUCCGGCUAAAUACGUGCCAGCAGCCGCGGUAAUACUUAUGGAGCGAGCGUUGUCCGGAAUUAUUGGGCGUAAAGGGUACGCAGGCGGUUUAAUAAGUCGAAUGUUAAAGAUCGGGGCUCAACCCCGCAAAGCAUUGGAAACUGAUAAACUUGAGUAGUGGAGAGGAAAGUGGAAUUCCUAGUGUAGUGGUGAAAUACGUAGAUAUUAGGAGGAAUACCAGUAGCGAAGGCGACUUUCUGGACACAAACUGACGCUGAGGUACGAAAGCGUGGGGAGCAAACAGG
rnacentral:rRNA from 1 species